CGGACGGGUGAGUAACGCGUGGGCAACCUGCCCUGUACUGGGGGAUAACACCUGGAAGCAGGUGCUAAUACCGCAUAAGCGCGCUGUGCCGCAUGGCGCGGCGCGGAAAACCCCGGUGGUACAGGAUGGGCCCGCGUCUGAUUAGCUGGUUGGCAGGGUAACGGCCUACCAAGGCGACGAUCAGUAGCCGGCCUGAGAGGGUGGACGGCCACACUGGGACUGAGACACGGCCCAGACUCCUACGGGAGGCAGCAG
rnacentral:rRNA from 1 species